UAUUGAAUAACGUGUGUAAUAGUUGGUAUAUAUGUGUAAUAGCUAUAAGAUAUUUUAUGUUAUAGCUAUUACACAUGUUAGUUUUAUAUUUAUUAUAGGUUAAUAAUAGUAUAAUAAGUAAAAUUGAUAAAAUAGAAAAAGAAGAUAGAAAGACUAACAGAGAGCAAACGUGAAAGAAAGAAGAAAGAAAGAAAUAAAUAAAUAAGGGAAAUUUGAGGAUUAAGGCCCUAAAGUUUGAUUGCAAACGUAGCACCGGAUACGUCAUCAAAGAAGGGAAAAGAGAAAGUGAACGAAGAUAUCGAUUAAAUUCGAUAAAUAGUGGCUAGGUACGAAAGUAUAAGGAAUCAGCAUACAAGUCGAUCCCCAAACUCAAAUUGGUGAAGUUUCUAUCUUUUUGGAAAAUGGCAUUGUACCUAGGAUGUCUUUUGGUCAUUUUGAAAGUAUCUAAGUUGUUAAGUGAUAUUUUGGUAUGUUUUGUAAAUGUUACCAAAACCUUAAGUAUGGUAUGUUUUGAUAUGUUAGUGAAGAGUAAUAAGAGGAAA